CGAACGCUGGCGGCGUGGAUUAGGCAUGCAAGUCGAACGGUAUGGACCUUUCGGGGUUCAGAGAGUGGCGAACGGGUGAGUAACACGUAGGUAAUCUACCCUCAAGACGGGGGACCAACCCGAAGGGAAACGUUGGGCUAAUACCGGAUGUGUGUAGUGGCUUAUUUUCUGAUUAUCAUUAUUUACGUAAGUGAGUAAUAAUAAGAAGGGAAAGUGGUUAUUACAUAAAAGGUGGCGUAAGCUGCCGCUUGGGGAUGAGCCUGCGUCCUAUUAGUUAGUUGGUGAGGUAACGGCUUACCAAGGCGAUGAUAGGUAGGCGGCCUUAACGGGUGGUCGCCCACACUGGGAUUGAGAUACGGCCCAGACUCCUACGGGAGGCAGCAGUCGAGAAUAGUCUACAAUGGACGGAAGUCUGAUAGUGCGACGCCGCGUGAACGAAGAAUCCCGUUCGGGUGUAAAGUUCUUUUAUACGUGAGCAGUGUCCUUUAUAUUAAUAGUACAAGGGGAGAGAUAUUAGCGUAUGAAUAAGCAACGGCUAACUCCGUG
rnacentral:rRNA from 1 species